UACGUAGGGUGCGAGCGUUGUCCGGAAUUACUGGGCGUAAAGAGCUUGUAGGUGGUUUGUCGCGUUGUUCGUGAAAUCUCACGGCUCAACUGUGAGCGUGCGGGCGAUACGGGCAGACUAGAGUACUGCAGGGGAGACUGGAAUUCCUGGUGUAGCGGUGGAAUGCGCAGAUAUCAGGAGGAACACCGGUGGCGAAGGCGGGUCUCUGGGCAGUAACUGACGCUGGGAAGCGAAAGCGUGGGGAGCGAACAGG
rnacentral:rRNA from 1 species